GUCAUUCCAACUCUACAAUUCCAUGAUACUCCUCCUUUGUUUUCGGUUUCUCCCCACAUCCAAACAGUAUUGCGUGGCCUCUGGGCAUCCUCAGUCCUAGAUGGGCUGCUUUGGAGUCUCCUCAUAAAAACACCAGGAUUCUCCAGAACUGCUGGUUGCAUGAAAAUGAUGGAUAACUCAGGAGGAGGACACCAGAGUCUACAAUAAGAGGACCCAGGAGCCAUAUAAUGCAAGCACCAGCUCUCCGCUGAAGAAACGCCCGAAGCCUGAGUUACCGGACCAGCGCUGGGCAACAGAAUGGGGGGUUUGAAUAGGACACAAAAGAAAACCCCACGCUGAAAAGAGGCGGCCUAGCCUGCUACAAGCAAGUCAACUGCCAAACUGUCAUUUUGCCAUGCGGCUGAACAGAAGGGCCCAUGUAACGACAACCACCAAACUCAUUUAAACUCUGAAAAGCUUGGAUAUCACUGAGCAUGUUUAAUCGUAUCAGUCCUGUACAGCAACAAUCUGAAAAGGUCAAAACAAAAUGGGAAGAGCCAACACUAUCCUUGGUCCAAAUCGCUCAUCGUAAGUCCUGUUGCGCCAAAGACAGAUCUGGCCUGAAAGCUUUCCAUUAAGGUCCAUGACAGAAUUUUUAUAGCUACUCAUCAAUGAUGCAAAAUGCAAGAGUGAGAAGGUCCAAGCAAAGGAAGAACUCCAGCAAAAGAGUAAGAACACCAGCAACCCUGUAGACGUAUAUGUUGUUAUUACCACGCAUUUUGAUAAACUUGAUAAACACCCCGAGUGAUGGGUACUUUCAUACUAUACUUUAAUUAUUCUUAAUGUAAUGCAGAAUCUACUUUAUCUCAUUGGACUUGAAGAACUGGAACUUGUGCAAGUUUGUGCACUACAGUCACAUCCUUCUUGCGCUGUGUUGACCACUUUUUCAAAUAUCCACAAUGGCCAUUACUUAUCCACAGCAGCUGUUCAAAAUCUUGCAUCAGAAAGUGAUGGGCACUCCUUUGGCGGAAGUUUUCAAGCAGAGGUUGGAUAGCCACAUAUCAGGUGUG